AAGCUCGUCUCCUCCUUUCUGUUGGAAACGAAAACGAGGGCGAGAUGAAUGGAUAAAAAAAACGAGGGCGAGAGGUGAUUGAUCUCCAACGACGGAGAUGGUGAGGUGAGGUUAGGCUUGAGGCGCUCUGCGGCUGCUCGCGCCAACUACGGCGGGCCGCGCCAAUAUGCGAGGCGGCGAUCCCCUUCUCAUCCUCACUGGCCCCUACCCCUGGGCCGUUUGGAAGGGGCACAGAGGUGAGCAACAGACCACCGCCGUCGAUGAAGGCAGGAGGUCAUCCCUGAUUCGAUGCUUCUGAUGAGCAAAUCUAGGGUUAAUUUUUUUUAUCCCCGGGAAUUCAGUACGACGUUCCUAUUUUGUGCGGAUCUGUGUUUUUGGUAUAUCGAUUCUCCCCAUUGCAUGUUUACAUUACCAAAGUUUUGAUUGGGAAUUGGGAUCGUUUAAAAUGGUGAUGUAUUGCCUCAUUAUGUUGCAAGUAUAAUGAGGCAAUACAUCAACAUUUCAAACGUUUGAAAUGGUAAUGAAUCAUGUAUGCUCCAAAUCGUCCACUAUGCUUCCGACCUGCAGUCCUGCACUAGCAAUCUAAUUUCGGUCUUGCAACGGCAUAGUAGGUUCAAUGCGACCUCCCUAUAGUAAUGAAUUUUCAUGUAUUCAAUGACAUCAGUAACCUCAUUUAUGUGUUGAUUAAUGCCACUAUGCUCCCAACAUUGUCCUCGCUGGCCUGUACAAUGUUCACUGUUUUAAUUUCUUUUCACUCAGUGCUUAUUCUGCUAAGUUGAAUGGAUAACUCACGCUUGAGCUGCUGAAUGGAUAAUUUACGUACUGAUUUCAAUUGAAAACUUAUGUAUUUAGGAUGACAUCCUUAUUACAGUGCCACCUGCAUUACAUGGUCAUUCAGUUUAAGCCUUUAUUUGGCCCCUCUUGACAGUUUCAAUGGCUGCUGCGUGUCUCCGCCAAGAUUCUAGCCAGACCUGCAAAUUUCUGUAGCCGGUGAAGUCAUCACACAGUUUGAGGCCUCAUAAAAUUAAGUCCAGUUGUCUUUUGGGGGUUCUCCUCGAAAUUGAGCGGUGUAAAUUUAGCAGUACCGCUUGACAUCCACAAGUUUAGAUGUGCCGGGAAUGAACAAAAACAUGCAGUUUGUUUUCAAGGCAUCGCCUAGGCGACAAGGUGGUGGUGGCUCGCCUUGCCUAAGGUGUCGCCUUAGCCCGCCUAGGCGUCGCCCAGGCAAUAAGGCGGCGGUGGCUCACCUUACCUCGCCUUAACGCUUUAAAAACACAUCCUAUAUUGAGUCAAAAACAUUCAGCUCUAGCGUCAUAUAUUAGGUGAACCUCUGCUUGAAACUUUGGCUCUGAUUCGCUUGUUAUUCAGCUGCAUAGUAUUGCCAAUUCAUGGUUUUGUUUGUUUGCAAUCUUGAAGAUGAAUCUGAACUUGAAAGCGAGCAAGCUCUCUGAAGAUAAUCUCUUCAGGAUGCUUUAUGAAAUUUCCAUCAAGCUCAAAAAUUGAGAUCCUAUAGUAUAGGAUAGUGGCAGUGGUUAAAUUUCAUAGAACAUGUUCGAACUUAAGAGAGCACAUUUUCUCUUUCUUUUUUUUCAAAUAUUACGGCAAGUUUAUUGCUGAUAAGAAAUGAAAAAUACGCAAGUCUAAUCCCAAUCAUAUACUGGCAACACAGUAGAUUACUAUUGUCAGUAGAUUAUUAUAGAUCUGUUGAAGUUUUAUGUAUCUAGAGUUUGCUUCUUGCCACUAUCUCCUUUUCUUGCUCGAUACAUAAGAUAAGAAUUGCUGCUGUUUUAUUUUACCCAAGUUUUAUGUUCAGGAUCUUAACGUCUCUCUCUUGAAUCUGGCACAUAGUCACAACCUUAUAAUGCUUUCUUAUUGGAUAACAUUAGAAUCUUUACUGAUUGAGCCCUUUCUUGAGGUACGCACCUCCUAGAAAUGCUUGUUAACUGGGCUCUGAAAAAUGCGGAAGGGGUGCACAAUUGCAUCUGAUUUUUUCCAUAUAAAUUUUGAUACUCAGACCUCAAAUUCCCUAAUUGCUUGGAAUGCCAAGUAGAGGAUUGCCAACUUUUGUUUGGAGUGUCAAACUAAGGUGACACACUUUCGAAAGCAUUCCUGGCUCAGCAUGCACUGAGUCUUAUCAAGAUCAAUGGAUACAUAGCUAUCAUGUUUCGACCUUUUCCUUCUUGUUUUCAGAACCAACCAAGUUCAUAUUUAGAUAAUUUGAUAUAUUUUUUCCAAAGUUCGCUUCAGAUGAAUAUUCUUAGAUGGGCAUCUGCUGAUUGAGAAGCUACUUGGGCUUACAUAGGAAACAUGGACAUAUCAGCCCAUCAUCCAUCACACAAAAUUUAGUGAGAUAUGUCCGUUCUGGGCCAACACAUUUGAUCCGAUACUACUUUUAUAUAAUAUGAUUUGCAUUUUCUCCAUCAAAGCUACAAGAAAGCUGAGUUUGCGCAUAAGAAAUGACGUACCAAAGGCUAUUCUACUCAUGUGGCCAGCAAUUUCACAGAAUCAAUGUUCUCACAUCCUCUUACUGUUUACUGUAGUGUUGCCAUAUUUUUUAUCACCCUCGGAUUCUUUUCUCUGCUGUAACCGUGGCAUGUGACCCGUUUUUGGUCUUAUAAUGUACUUUUGUAGUUAUCUAAUUGAACACCUGGCCCACUUGCCCAACACACUUUUGUCACAUCUUAUGGGUAACAUGAUGACAACUUCUCAAAGUUUGCCUGAAAACGAAGGAUGGUACAGAUGGGCAUCCAAGUGAAGUGAUAAAUCUUGUCACUUUCAUACAAAUGUGAACUCCCACAAGUAUGUAAUAUCAUGCAUUGCCAUCACCCUUCAGCUAACAUGUUGUUCUGAGUUAAGAUGUGAGAUAUGCUGUUUCUUGCGGAUUCCCUGAAGUUUACACUGAAGUUGAUCUUCUUGGAAUUGUUUCCUAUCAUGUAGUUAGUUUCAGUUCAUAGAGAAACUAGUCAAUUAGUGCAUACAUUAUAAAACUAUUUACUACUCCCUCUGUUUUUAUUUACGUGUCGUAUUAGGUUUGUCCUAAGUCAAACUUGGCUAACUUUGACCAAGUCUAUAGAAAAAUAUAGCACCAACUAUACUAUCCAACACAUGCACUAUCGACAUAUAUUUCAUGGUGGAUCCAAUGAAACAAAUUUGGUAUUGUAAAUGUUAUUAUUUCUUUCUAUAAAUUUGGUCAAAGUUUGCUAAGUUUGACUUAAGACAAACUUAAUACGACAUGUAAAUAAAAAUAGAGGGAGUAUAUUGUGGUUGUUGCACUUCCAAGCAAUCUGUUUAAUUGCAAAUUCAAUGUUAACGAUGGGAGAAGAGAAAAGCAGAAGAUGUUAGUUAUGAGGCCAUGUGCAAAAGAAGGGCACAACGACACAAGUGGGAGCAACAGUUGGAUGGGGGUAACAUGGGAUUGGAGCAAUGUCUGUCCAUGUUACUUAGUGUGUAUUUCUGUAUAGCUUUCAAUCUUGGCUGGACUCCUCUGGCAAGGGAAUAACAACAACCAACUUAAUAUCCCCACUUCCACUUUAUCUCUUUAUCCUUUUAUGUUAUUCCAUGGGCAAAGAUAACAGUGGGGCUACAGUGAUGCCUUUCUUUCUUUUCAUUUAUGAAAUUGGGAGAAACACUACCAAGAAUGCUUGAGUGUCUCUUUCAUAUUGAACCUAGCUGAUUCACAGUUAAGGGCUUCCAUGCUUAUUAUUGCGUGGGCAACAUCAAUUACAUACAUAUUGAUUGAGUAUCUUGCGCUGCUUUUAACAGGGUGAAUAUCUGAAAAAGCUGCCAGAGGAUGCAUGACAACCACAGUAAUAAUUUUGGUGCAGUUGUUAAGAUGUAGAGUGAACCUGUCCAAGUCAAUAAUGGUAGAGAGCAAUGGAUACAUGUGAAACAUUUCAAGUCCUACAUGUCGAGGAAAAUGAUAGGACAAGAAAAGAAAGAUAUGUCCAGAUCGGCGCUUAUAAUUCAGCGCUCCAUCCAGCAUCACGGGACCAUGCAUAAUAAUAAUGGUUCACUUGUUAGGCUGUACUGUGUGGACGAGCACCGAAAUGGACCCCCUUGAGGCGUUUUAUUCUGAAGUGAAUGAUCGCCACGGCUUAUCUACAGCAUGGGCGCCCUUGCAUUCAUUUUGCUUGGUACAGUCUCCCUCUCUUUGCGCUUCUUCAUUGUAAAAAUGCAUUAUUGAUCUUCAAUGUAUCAUAUGUUUCAAUUCUACCGAACCUUUCGAUUGUAAUCUACUGUCUUUUUAAUAGCAUUCACACUAUGCUACCUUCUACUACAGUAUUAUAUUUUUCUGUAUGUCUUGGUAACAGACUGUGAUAGUGGUUAAAACCAUCUGCUUCUGUACUUUUGGGGCAGAUGCAUACACAUAUCAUUCAGCCGUAUGUGCAGGUGCAGCCUUGCAAGUCACGCAACAGCGUGCCCAAAAGCAAGUGUGUUUCAACGCUUGUUGGCGGCGCAGCUAGAGAGGUGCGUGGGAUGACCGGCCGCACUCCGAUCCCAUCCCAGUGGAGAUGAAAAUGAAAUGAAGCAGCUCAUGCAUGCAUCAUGAUGUCGUUGCAGCUCGGGCAGCGCGUGUUAACCCAGACCCACUAGUAGCUCCCCAGUUUGUCGCCUCAGCCAUGCGAGAUGCCUUUCUGUCUAUGCCUUUGCUCGAUGCUUCACCAAGGUAAAUCUGUUGCCGCUACUGCUACUGCUAUCUUAGGCUCUGUUUGGAUCCAUGGACUAAAUCUUAGGCCUAAAGUUUAGUCCACUAGAUGAUGCAAAUAGGUGGACUAAAAUUUAGUUCCAUCCUAACUAAAGUGUAGUCCAUUAUUAGUCAAUAAAAUCCACCUAAUAACUUGGACUAAAGUUUAGUUUUCACACCCAUUCAUAUGUUUAAAAUAGUUUCUUACAAGUUUAAUCCAUGGAUCCAAACCGACAGUUAGUCCUACAAAUGGGGCCUUAGUAAUAUAUUUGGGGCAACGUUGGAGGACAAUUAUUCGAACAACUAUGUGUGGCAAUUAAUUGAAGGAAGCAUCAUGGCAGAUGGGACACUUUGAUUUUUGCCAAAUCCUGCCCUUGCAAUCAAAGAGCGCAUCGUUUUCACUGACCCGCACGGCAUUAAACGAGAGGAUACCAUCAGCACCGUACCACCAGCGACCUAGGAUAGGAUAGACCGAAUCAAUCCUCGCUCCAUGUUUCUUUUGAAACAGAGUUUUUAUAGCCACCAGCCAGUCAGCAAUACUUUUUUUCUCCCAGCAAAUCAGUACCAGCCACAGUCAGCCAGCAGAACGGAGUGUGUUAAUGAAACAGUUGUCCGCCUGUAGCUUUCCGAGCAGAGAAGGGCAGUAAAGCCAGCUAGCGUUGGCGGCUUAACAUAUAGUGGUGCGUGAUUGGUGACAUAUAAACGAGGCAAGUGCAACUAUAUAUAAUGCUUUGAACAUGACAAGCAAGCUUAUUAGUUGCAGCAAUAUAAUGCGUGAUGGCGCCACACGAGUCACGACACGAGCACGUAAUGGUGACAUAUAAAGAAGCUUAUUAGUUACUUCUUUUAUGUCGUUUUGUGUCAAGUUAUUCUUCAUUUGUAACACCAAUUGUUUUUCUUGAUAUGAAUCAGAUAUGAGAUAUCUUUUUGGUGUCUUUCUCAAAAAACGAAAAAAAGUUUAGCACUUGGUGGAUCCAAACGGGCCUUUAUUCUUGACCUUAAUUAAUUUGGAUAUAUCUACUUUCUUUUCUUUGGCCGGUAUAUAUGCAUGUAUUUCGUACGUACUGUGCUUGAGAAGACUUUGCUAUCGAUCAGUAAGUAAUUCCGAUCGAAUUCAUCAAGCCGUACGUACGUGUUUAUUUGGAACGCACGCAAUCAAGAAAGCGCCUGCACUGCUGUACACUUGUACAGUCAGUUCCCUAGCUAUAGUGGCAAGUGAAGAAUUUUCACCGGAUUGGAAUUCGUUCAUCAGUGGACCAUGCCAUGGAUCAGUGCGUACCUACUCAUACUCUGAUGAUCGGAUCUACUGGAGCAUGCAUGCAUGUCAGGCAGGCUUGUGAGGCGUGAAGCUGCAGCCGGCCGGAAGAGAGAGCAUGUGUGCAUGGCUUUUACGGAGUAAGUUUUUAACCAUCUCUUGUUGCAGGAGAGUACUGUACUGUGCCGGUGAGGCAGAGCUGAGGGGGGGAAAAAAGAGAGCAGAAGCUGGAUAUGGUCGGAUCGGGGCAUCUUCGUUCUCUAGCUAGCUCCGAUCCUGUCUCGCUGCUCGCAUCAGAUAGAUGGCAUCGGUAGAUCACUGCAUGCUGUGAUCUACCGAUCCAUGCACACUGUAGCUGGCCUCCUCGCUGUGCUGCUAACAUCUGCAUGCUGUGCAUCGCUGGAUUCCAAAAGGUAGUGUGCGCAUGCCAUGCGUCGGGGACGGUUAGCGAGCACCGAUCCCACAGCUAGUAGCUACCCCUCCCAGGCCAUUAAAAAACCACUUUUAUUAUGACACCACCACACCAGAGAGGCAGCAGAGGGUGAGGCAGGGACCUCACCUCGCUUGGCCUGCAGCCGUUUAUACGGAUCCGGCGCUGACCCGGAACUAUAAUUUUGUAAGGCUGCCAAAUCUAACCUGGCACUAACAUCGAGGUCCCCCAGCAUUCCAUUUCCUCCAGAGCGCUCACAUGCACGUCACGCACUAGUAAGUAUUUACUCAAUCAAAGGGUAUUUCGAGUACAAUUUGGUUUUAGAUCUCAGAUCUUGUGUGUGUUUUUUUCUUCUUCUAAUAUUGUAGCUUACUUGCAUUGGAAACCCUAUAAGUAAUAAAUAGAUAAAUUGAAAAAAAUACAAUUACCACCUCAUCGUAAAUACUGAGAUCAAGCCAUGCUCCAAUGGUUAGAGUAGUUUAUAUUUAACAAGAGCUGUUACGUACUGAGAUCUAUAGGGGAAUAUUAAUAUAAAGGUAGUAGUUGACAAUAAACUAAACUGAUCACUUUGGAUCCCAAGAGAAUAACCUCACUUGGGAUCCCAAGAGAAUAACCACAACUCGGAUUGUAUUUUAAUGCAACUAUAUGUACCCAUAUUGCCCAGCCAUCCAUCCUGAUCAAAAUAAGUUGAAAGAUCACAAGAGACUCUAACCGCAGGCAGGUUCAAUACAAAUAGUUAAAAAUAAUCAGCAGCUGUUACAUGCAUGCAUGCAUGUAGAACCUCAAGAAAUUUACAUUUACCAACUAAUAAGUGUACAUAUAUAUAGUUUAACAGUCAUUAAUAUAACCACAGUAGUAUAUGUAAUAACGAAUUUAUAAAUUACAUAAUGGACAGUUCAGUAACUCUUCUGAAAAGGGGAAAGAAAAAAGAAAGGCCCAAAAGUAUACCCAAAAAAAAUAAAGAAAUUCCCGCAAGAGCACAUUAUUCUCCCUCAGCUCUAGACAAGCAAUGUCCUUGUGCUUUUGUACCAUACAAGGUAACUGUAUAUAUAGCAGGGUAAAA